UUACUGAGGCUAGCUGAGAAGAAGCAGUUUGAACCAGUGGAGAUCAAGGUAGUGAGGAAAGCAGAAGAUCGGCCCCUGACUGCAGAGGAACUGAGGGAGCCAGGGUUUCUUGAACGAAAACAUAGGAAAAAGAAACCUGAACCCGACGCCAAACUACCUCCACCUGUGUCCAAAAGGGCACCCUCUCAUAAAGACAUCAUGGGCACAGAGCCCAGCAAAGGUGCUGCGACAGGCAGCUUUCUUCUAAAGGAUUGCCCUUUCCUCAUGCUGAGAAGAAAUCCAGACACAGCAUAGCCAAUGAGAAACAAGUAGCUUUGUCUUCAUCCAAAUCCCCGCCAGGAGAGAGGACCAAGGUAGGAUCUGGCAGUAGCGCCCAGCCCUCACUUCGGGAGGGUCACAACAGGCCUGUCUUCAAUGGGGCUGCAAAGCCCCACCCCAGCACCUGUUCACCAAGUGUCCCAAAGACUUCUGCUAGCGGGACUCAGAAAUCUGCUUCUGAGCACAAAGCCAAAAAAUCUCUUCCUUCUCAUCCCAGCCAUUCCAAGCCUGGACCCACAGUUCUCUCACACAAGGCUGAGUCCAGGUGUCGGACAGCCAGGCAGCAACUCUGGCUCUGCUCCUGGGCAGCCUAGCCCAGGGACAGCUCGACCCACACUUAGUUCUGGCCCUGUACCCAGGCGCCAGAAUGGCAGCUCCAGCUCAGGACCUGAGCAGUCAGUCAGUGGGAUCAGAAAGCUGGCCAGCAACUCACAUCCCUCUGGACAAACACUCAACGCCACAAAUGGUCCUGGACGACCCGCAGGCAGCUCAAGUGAGCCUGGGCGACCCAUCAGUGGGUCUGUUGGUUCUGGGAGACCUGUGGGCAGUUCUAGAGACCCUGGGCAGCCUGUAAACAGUCCACAUGACCUUCGACGACCAAUGAACAAUCUAGGCUCUCUUGGGCGGUCAGUCAGUGGAGAGAUCCAUCAGUGGUUCCAUUCUAGCUGGACAAACUGUCAGUUCAGGCCCUGGAAGACCAGCGAGCAGCUUAGGACCUGGACGAGCAAAUAGUAACCCAGGCCUCCCCACAAAGCCCAAAAGCACUGUUGUCUCAGAAACAAUUUCUUCAAAGAAUAUUAUUAGUUGGUCAAGCAAUGGACAGAUAAAUGGAAUGACACCUCUCCUCUCUGGCUACAGAUCUGCUCAAGGUCCUCAAAGGCUUCCCUUCCCUACUGGCUACAAAAGGCCUCGAGAGUAUGAAGAUGAUGAUGAUGAUGAUGAAUAUGACUCAGAAAUGGAUGAUUUCAUCGAAGAUGAAGGAGAACCUCAGGAAGAAAUAUCCAAGCACAUUCGAGAAAUCUUUGGCUAUGACCGAAAAAAAUAUAAAGAUGAAAGUGACUAUGCCUUACGUUACAUGGAGAGCAGUUGGAAGGAGCAGCAGAAGGAGGAAGCCAAGAGUUUAAGACUCGGAAUGCAAGAGGACUUAGAAGAAAUGAGGCGCGAAGAAGAGGAACUGAAACAUCGAAAGGCCAAGAAGCUGAAGCGACACUAGCUGCUGCUGCUGUGGAUUCUGGGAGAGACACUGCAAGGAUCUCCUGCCUUCAGACUGAGCAAGCUUGUUCCUGGCUUAGAUUCACACGGGGCACUCAAAAGGAAGGAAUACAUACUGUCGUUUGCAGGCUAUCGUUUGAGUGUGCAGUGUUUUCAAAUGGUCCGUGGUGGAACCUAUAAUGGAGAUGAUACAAUGCUGGCCGUGUGCUCUGCUGAAGUUAGCCAUUCACAGGUGCCAGCCUCGAUCCUGAUGAGCUAUGCACGCUAAUGUGGGACCACUCCCCAGUCAGCUGAUCACUAUUCCUUUGCUACUUCAAAAGGAGAAAAAGAUUGAUGUGUGAGUAGGGUAUCAGCCAGAUCGCAGUCUGACUUGGCCUUAGGAAGGGCCUGGUUCUUCUGUGAAUGCUGCCAGCAAUAAAGUGACCUGUUCUA